rnacentral:rRNA from 1 species
GACGAACGCUGGCGGCGUGCCUAAUACAUGCAAGUAGAACGCACAGUUUAUACCGUAGCUUGCUACACCAUAGACUGUGAGUUGCGAACGGGUGAGUAACGCGUAGGUAACCUGCCUGGCAGCGGGGGAUAACUAUUGGAAACGAUAGCUAAUACCGCAUAAUAUUAAUUAUUGCAUGAUAAUUAAUUGAAAGGUGCAAUUGCACCACUACCAGAUGGACCUGCGUUGUAUUAGCUAGUAGGUGAGGUAACGGCUCACCUAGGCGACGAUACAUAGCCGAACUGAGAGGGUGGUCGGCCACACUGGGACUGAGACCCGGCCCAGACUCCUACGGGAGGCAGCAGUAGGGAAACUUCGGCAAUGGACGAAAGUCUGACCGAGCAACGCCGCGUGAGUGAAGAAGGUUUUCGGAUCGUAAAGCUCUGUUGUAAGAGAAGAACGGGUGUGAGAGUGGAAAGUUCACACUGUGACGGUAUCUUACCAGAAAGGGACGGCUAACUACGUG